rnacentral:rRNA from 1 species
GGGCUUAACUGUCUCCCCCCUCCAGUCAGUGAAAUUGAUCUAUCCGUGCAGAAGCGGGUAUAAUACUACAAGACGAGAAGACCCUUUGGAGCUUAAGGUACAAGAUUCAGCCAUGUUAAGCAACUCCGUAGAAAGCAAGAACUUAGUGGCCAUGAAAUUUUACCUUCGGUUGGGGCGACCACGGAGGAAAAGCAAGCCUCCGAGUGGACUGGGCCGACACCCCUAAAGCCAAAAGAGACAUCUUUAAGCCGCAGAACAUCUGACCAAUAAUGAUCCGGCUAAAAAGCCGAUCAACGGACCAAGUUACCCUAGGGAUAACAGCGCAAUCCUCUCCCAGAGCCCAUAUCGACGAGGGGGUUUACGACCUCGAUGUUGGAUCAGGACAUCCUAGUGGUGCAGCCGCUAUUAAGGGUUCGUUUGUUCAACGAUUAAAGUCCUACGUGAUCUGAGUUCAGACCGGAGCAAUCCAGGUCAGUUUCUAUCUGUAACGCUACUUUUCCUAGUACGAAAGGAUCGGAAAAGAGGGGCCCAUACCUAGCGCAUGCCCCACCCCUAAUUCAUGAAAACAAAUAAUAAAAAUAAGGGAGGGCCAAAACCCCUGCCGCU